rnacentral:rRNA from 1 species
CUGCAGGAUAAGUUAUAUAUUUUAGGUAAAAGGUAGUUAGAUGUAGAGAUGGUUUAAUGACUUUUCAUAUAAGGGUAAAAUUUAAUAUGGGAGAUUAAUUUAGAGUAGGCUAUAUAUAUUGAAUCUACGAAAUCCUUGAGGGAAACUGGGAUUAGAUACCCCAUUAUUCUUGGUUGUAAAUUAAUUUAUUAUUUACCGGAGCAGUAUGAAUUAUUAAAAUUUAAAACUCAAAAAGCUUGGCAGUAUUUUAGACUUUUCAGGGGAACCUGCCUCGUAAUCGAUAAUCCGCGUGAAACCUGACUAUUUUUAGUACUCAGCUUGUAUACCGUUGUCGUAAGGUAACUUUUAAGAAUAUAUUAGUUACCUAGAGAACAUAGAGUUAAGACGUCAAAUCAAGGUGCAGCUUAUAAAGUAGUGAAGGUGGGUUACAAUUAUGGAAUUAUAAUGACGGAUAAGGCAUAGAAUAUUUGUUUUUGAAGGAGGACUUGAAAGUAAUGCUAUGUACAUAAAUAGUUUGAACUAAGCUCUGAAAUGUGCACAUAU